rnacentral:tRNA from 1 species
CGGGGCGUGGCGCAGCCUGGUAGCGCGCUUGUUUUGGGUACAAGAGGCCCCCAGUUCGAAUCUGGGCGCCCCGACCA